CUUCAAAAAAGGAAAAACCUUGGAAAUUAUGCCAUAUUUCUGAAUUUGAUUUUUUUGCAUCUCCCCCCCUUGCACCCAUCCUAUCAAUCCACCCCUGGGGUUAACUAUGUGUGUAUAUCUCAAGAUUGUUAAUUUAAACCAUUAGUUGCCAUUUGUUAUAUGUUGAAACCAACGAGUUUUGGCUAUUUGCCAGUGAAUUAAUGUGAUUGGUUCAUUUAAAUGGUCAGUGGAUGUUUCACACAAUCAAACUGGAACCUUAACCGCACCUAACCUUUAACCCUCUUCUCUAACCUGUAACCCUAACUGAUCAGGCCACCUGCUCGCAGGUCGAUACACCCAUCUACGACAUACAAGGCGAGUGCCUUAAAUCACUCGACUACCGACGUUUGCUUGAAAAUCGAUGAAAUUUGCUUGACAUCAUUUUAGCAAGCUGACAGAAUGAGGAAAUAAGCUAAUCAAAUUAAUUCACAGACAAAUAGCCAAAGCUUGUUGGCUUUGGUGACCGUCCAGACAGACAACUUUUGUAUUUUUACUCUGUCUAAUGCCAGGUGUAUUUACUUGUCUUUGGGAAAUAUUGAGUAAUUGACUGUCAAUGGGCUCUUGUUAACACAAAUACAACAAGCUGUAAUAUAUCCUAAUGUGCCAAUUUUUUGUCAAAAGUGCCAGGUGUUUUUACUUUAACCCAUUAAGCUGUAAAGCUUCCCCAUUGACGGGUAAAAUUGUUUGGCGUUAGACAAGUAAAAAAAUAGGCAGGGAGCACCGAGGUGCAUUGGGCCCGCAGUAAUUGGCGUUAUGCUGUUGUGGGAACCCUGCCAGAAUUUGUAAUUUAUGUAACGGCAAAGUUAUUAAAUUAAAAAAAUUGCAGCUCAAUCAGUAGUGCCUAAAUUACUUUGAAUUUGUACUCAAGUAAAAGUAGAAGUAAUUAACAAUAAAACGACUUGAGUAAGAGUAAAAAGUACUGGAAGCAAAACGUACUUAAGUAAAAAGUACAAAGUAUCCUUAAAAAAUACUUGAAGUACAAAGUAAAAGUACUAUUGUCUAUAGCGUGUAGGGGGGAGGGGGGCUUCUCCAAUGGAUUGACAUACAAAAGACACAAAACAGCAC